AGGACAGUAUGNUGGCCUCUGAUUAUGUCACUCCUGGNGAUCCGGUGCUCACUCUGCCCACA
ensembl:miRNA